GGAUGCGAUCAUACCAGUACUAAUGCACCGGAUCCCAUCAGAACUUCGUAGUUAAGCGUGUUUGGGCGAGAGUAGUAAUAGGAUGGGUGACCUACCGGAAAGUCCUCGUGUUGCAUCCC
rnacentral:rRNA from 1 species